rnacentral:rRNA from 1 species
UAGGGAAUCUUCGGCAAUGGGGGGAACCCUGACCGAGCAACGCCGCGUGAGUGAAGAAGGUCUUUGGAUCGUAAAGCUCUGUUGUUAAGGAAGAACGAGUGUGAGAAUGGAAAGUUCAUACUGUGACGGUACUUAACCAGAAAGGGACGGCUAACUACGUGCCAGCAGCCGCGGUAAUACGUAGGUCCCGAGCGUUGUCCGGAUGUAUUGGGCGUAAAGCGAGCGCAGGCGGUUAGAUAAGUCUGAAGUUAAAGGCAGUGGCUCAACCCUUGUAGGCUUUGGAAACUGUUUAACUUGAGUGCGGAAGGGGAGAGUGGAAUUCCAUGUGUAGCGGUGAAAUGCGUAGAUAUAUGGAGGAACACCGGUGGCGAAAGCGGCUCUCUGGUCUGUAACUGACGCUGAGGCUCGAAAGCGUGGGGAGCGAACAGG